CCUACGGGAGGCAGCAGUGGGGGAUAUUGCACAAUGGGGGAAACCCUGAUGCAGCAACGCCGCGUGGGUGAAGAAGUACUCCGGUAUGUAAAGCCCUGUCAGCAGGGAAGAAAAUGACGGUACCUGACCAAGAAGCCCCGGCUAACUACGUGCCAGCAGCCGCGGUAAUACGUAGGGGGCAAGCGUUAUCCGGAUUUACUGGGUGUAAAGGGAGCGUAGACGGCAAGGCAAGUCUGGAGUGAAAGCCCGGGGCCCAACCACGGGACUGCUUUGGAAACUGGGUUGCUGGAGUGCAGGAGGGGUAAGCGGAAUUCCUAGUGUAGCGGUGAAAUGCGUAGAUAUUAGGAGGAACACCGGUGGCGAAGGCGGCUUACUGGACUGUAACUGACGUUGAGGCUCGAAGGCGUGGGGAGCAAACAGGAUUAGAUACCCCAGUAGUC
rnacentral:rRNA from 1 species